rnacentral:rRNA from 1 species
UACGGGGGGGGCAAGCGUUGUUCGGAAUUACUGGGCGUAAAGGGCUCGUAGGCGGCCAACUAAGUCAGACGUGAAAUCCCCAGGCUCAACCUGGGAACUGCGUCUGAUACUGGAUGGCUUGAAUCCGGGAGAGGGAUGCAGAAUUCCAGGUGUAGCGGUGAAAUGCGUAGAUAUCUGGAGGAAUACCGGUGGCGAAGGCGGCAUCCUGGCUCGCAUCUGACGCUCAGACACGACAGCAUGGGGAGCGAACGGG